GCCAGGCGUGGUAGUGCACACCUGUAAUCCCAGCAGCUCAGGAGGCAGAGGCAGGAGGAUUGUGAAUUCAAAGCCAGCCUCAG
rnacentral:sRNA from 1 species